GACGAACGCUGGCGGCGUGGAUUAGGCAUGCAAGUCGAACGGUAUCAUCCUUUCGGGGGUGAGAGAGUGGCGAACUGGUGAGUAACACGUAGGUUAUCUACCCUCAAGACGGGGACAACCCAGGGAAACUUGGGCUAAUACCGGAUGUGAGCAACUUUUAGUUGUUUGAAAGGUGGCGUAAGCUGUCGCUUGGGGAUGAGCCUGCGUCCUAUUAGUUAGUUGGUGAGGUAACGGCUCACCUAGGCAAUGAUAGGUAGGCGGCCUUAACGGGUGGUCGCCCACACUGGGAUUGAGAUACGGCCCAGACUCCUACGGGAGGCAGCAGUCGAGAAUAGUCUACAAUGGUCGGAAGACUGAUAGUGCGACGCCGCGUGAACGAUGAAUCCCUUCGGGGUUAAAGUUCUUUUAUAUGUGAGCAGUGCUUCUAUAUUAACAGUAUGGGGAAGAGAUAUUAGCAUAUGAAUAAGCAACGGCUAACUCCGUGCCAGCAGCCGCGGU
rnacentral:rRNA from 1 species